rnacentral:rRNA from 1 species
ACACGGAGGGUGCAAGCGUUGUCCGGAUUCACUGGGCGUAAAGCGCGCGUAGGCGGCUUUGUAAGUCACCUGUGAAAUCCCGGGGCUCAACUCCGGGGCUGCAGGUGAUACUGCAAAGCUAGAGCUCGGUAGAGGCAAGUGGAAUUCCCGGUGUAGCGGUGGAAUGCGUAGAUAUCGGGAAGAACACCAGUGGCGAAGGCGGCUUGCUGGGCCAAUACUGACGCUGAGGUGCGAAAGCGUGGGGAGCAAACAGGAUUAGAAACCCCAGUAGUCC